AGUGAACGCUGGCGGUAGGCCUAACACAUGCAAGUCGAACGGCAGCACAGUAAGAGCUUGCUCUUACGGGUGGCGAGUGGCGGACGGGUGAGGAAUACAUCGGAAUCUACUUUUUCGUGGGGGAUAACGUAGGGAAACUUACGCUAAUACCGCAUACGACCUACGGGUGAAAGCAGGGGAUCUUCGGACCUUGCGCGAUUGAAUGAGCCGAUGUCGGAUUAGCUAGUUGGCGGGGUACAGGCCCACCAAGGCGACGAUCCGUAGCUGGUCUGAGAGGAUGAUCAGCCACACUAGCACUGAGACACGCUCCAGACUCCUACGGGAGGCAGCAGUGGGGAAUAUUAGACAAUGGGCGCAAGCCUGAUCCAGCCAUACCGCGUGGGUGAAGAAGGCCUUCGGGUUGUAAAGCCCUUUUGUUGGGAAAGAAAAGCAGCAGGUUAAUACCCCGCUGUUCUGACGGUACCCAAAGAAUAAGCACCGGCUAACUUCGUG
rnacentral:rRNA from 1 species